AGUCUCUCCACUUUAGCUGGUAAGAGAAAAAGAAACAGACACGGCUGGCUGGGGGAUUCUGGGGGUUGAAGUCCACAAAUCUUAAAGGUGCAAAGUUUGGAGUUUUAAGAGUGAAAGGCAGCCAGGGGAGACCUGAAAAAUUAGAAUUGCAUCAUU